rnacentral:rRNA from 1 species
GAUGAACGCUGGCGGCGUGCCUAAUACAUGCAAGUCGAGCGAAUGGAUUAAGAGCUUGCUCUUAUGAAGUUAGCGGCGGACGGGUGAGUAACACGUGGGUAACCCGCCCAUAAGACUGGGAUAACUCCGGGAAACCGGGGCUAAUACCGGAUAACAUUUUGAACCGCAUGGUUCGAAAUUGAAAGGCGGCUUCGGCUGUCACUUAUGGAUGGACCCGCGUCGCAUUAGCUAGUUGGUGAGGUAACGGCACACCAAGGCAACGAUGCGUAGCCGACCUGAGAGGGUGAUCGGCCACACUGGGACUGAGACACGGCCCAGACUCCUACGGGAGGCAGCAGUAGGGAAUCUUCCGCAAUGGACGAAAGUCUGACGGAGCAACGCCGCGUGAGUGAUGAAGGCUUUCGGGUCGUAAAACUCUGUUGUUAGGGAAGAACAAGUGCUAGUUGAAUAAGCUGGCACCUUGACGGUACCUAACCAGAAAGCCACGGCUAACUACGUGCCAGCAGCCGCCGUAA